GAUCCUGGCUCAGGAUGAACGCUAGCUACAGGCUUAACACAUGCAAGUCGAGGGGCAUCGGGGGUGUAGCAAUACACCUGCCGGCGACCGGCGCACGGGUGAGUAACACGUAUCCAACCUGCCAUGAACGUCCGGGAUAGCCCUCUGAAAGGAGGAUUAAUACCGGAUGUGACCUGGUGGGGGACACUCCCCCGCAGCUUAAAGAUUCAUCGGUUCAUGAGUGGGGAUGCGUCUGAUUAGCUUGUUGGCGGGUAACGGCCCACCAAGGCACCGAUCAGGUAGGGUUCUGAGAGGAACGGUCCCCACAUAGGAACUGAGACACGGUCCUAACUCCGUACGGGAGGCAGCAGUGGAGGGAUAUUGCACAAGUGGGGGGAACCCUGAUGCAGCAAACCGCCGCGUGAGUGAAGAAGUAAUUCGUUAUGUAAAGCUCUAUCAGCAGGGAAGAUAAUGACGGUACCUGACUAAGAAGCUCCGGCUAAGUACGUGCCAGCAGCCGC
rnacentral:rRNA from 1 species